GUGUCAGCAGCCGCGGUAAAACGUAGGAGGCAAGCGUUAUCCGGAUUUACUGGGCGUAAAGCGCGUGCAGGCGGUUUGGUAAGUCGGACGUGAAAGCUCCUGGCUCAACUGGGAGAGGCCGUUCGAUACUACCGAACUAGAGGGCAGGAGAGGGAGGUGGAAUUCCGGGUGUAGCGGUGAAAUGCGUAGAUAUCCGGAGGAACACCAGUGGCGAAGGCGGCCUCCUGGUCUGCCCCUGACGCUCAGACGCGAAAGCUAGGGGAGCGAACGGGAUUAGAAACCCCGGUAGUCCUAGCUGUAAACGAUGCGGACUUGGUGUGGGUGGCUUAAACUCCAUCCGUGCCGCAGCUAACGCGAUAAGUCCGCCGCCUGGGGACUACGGCCGCAAGGUUAAA
rnacentral:rRNA from 1 species